rnacentral:rRNA from 1 species
AGAGUGGCGAACGGGUGAGUAACGCGUGAAGAACCUGCCUUCGAGAGGGGGAUAACACUCCCAACGGGGUGCUAAUACCGCAUGAGACCACGGGUCCACCUGGACCUGAGGUCAAAGGUGGCCUCUGCUUGCAAGCUACCACUCGAAGAUGGCUUCGCGUCCCAUUAGCUAGUUGGCGGUGUAACGGACCACCAAGGCGACGAUGGGUAGCUGGUCUGAGAGGAUGGUCAGCCACACUGGGACUGAGAUACGGCCCAGACUCCUACGGGAGGCAGCAGUCGAGAGGCUUUGGCAAUGGGGGAAACCCUGACCAAGCGACGCCGCGUGGAGGAUGAAGGCCCUUGGGUUGUAAACUCCUUUUGCUGGGGAAGAAGUGCGACCAGGUGAACAAUCUGGCCGUUUGACGGUACCCAGCGAAUAAGCUCCGGCUAACUCCGUGCCAGCAGCCGCGGUAACACGGGGGGAGCAAGCGUUGUUCGGAAUCACUGGGCGUAAAGGGCGUGUAGGCGGUCAGGUAAGUGGGAUGUGAAAUGCCCCGGCUCACCCGGGGACCGGCAUCCCAAACUGCCUGGCUUGAGUAUGGGAGAGGAUGGAGGAAUUCCUGGUGUAGCGGUGAAAUGCGUAGAUAUCAGGAGGAACACCGGUGGCGAAGGCGUCCAUCUGGCCCAAUACUGACGCUGAGGCGCGAAAGCUAGGGGAGCGAACGGGAUUAGAUACCCCGGUAGUCCUAGCCGUAAACGGUGAUCACUAGGUGUUGGGGGCAUCGACCCCUCCAGUGCCGCAGCUAACGCACUAAGUGAUCCGCCUGGGGAGUACGGCCGCAAGGUUGAAACUCAAAGGAAUUGACGGGGGCCCGCACAAGCGGUGGAGCAUGUGGUUCAAUUCGACGCAACGCGAAGAACCUUACCCAGGCUUGAC